AGUGAACGCUGGCGGCAGGCCUAACACAUGCAAGUCGAACGGCAGCACAGUAAGAGCUCGCUCUUACGGGUGGCGAGUGGCGGAUGGGUGAGGAAUACAUCGGAAUCUACUUUUUCUUGGGGGAUAACGUAGGGAAACUUACGCUAUUACCGCAUACGACCUACGGGUGAAAGCAGGGGAUCUUCGGACCUUGCGUGAUUCUAUGAGCUGUUGUCGCAUUAGCUAGUUGGCGGGGUAAAGGCCCACCAAGCCGACGAUCCGUAGCUGGUUUGAGCGGAUGAUCGGCCAACAUGGAACGAGGACAGGUUCCGACCCCCAAGGGGAGGCAGAGUUGGGAAAUUUUGGACAAGGGGCGAAACCCUGAGCCAGCCAUCCCGCGGGGGGAAAAAAGGCCUUCGGUUUGUAAAGCCCUUUAUUUGGGAAGAAAAAGCAGGAAGUUAAUACCCCGCUGUUUGGACGUUACCAAAAAAAUAAGCACCGGCUAACUUCGG
rnacentral:rRNA from 1 species